AUGAAAUUAUUUUGUACUUUUUCUGUAGGUGUUUCAGUAACCCAAACACAAGCAAGGCAAGCAGUAGUGUCCGAUGACCCUGCAUAUGCGUACUGUUUUGCCCCAGAUGUGAACAAGAAGUACCAUUUGUAGUGCAAUUUUUGUGACAAGCUAUUGAAAGAUGGAAUUACUAGAAUGAAGUAUCAUCUUGCUUGCAUUACUGGCUUCAAUGCUGUUAAAUGUAAGAAGGUUCCAGCUGAUGUGAAGGAAGAUAUUAUUGCUUUUCUUACAAAGAAGAGUGGUGACAAGCAAAAGAAGAAGGAUGAAGUGCAAAGGGUUCGAUCUACAAUUAAUAUAGAGAACUCAGAUGAUGAAAUGGGUAGUGGGGAUGAUUCUGACUUGGAGAGGAAUGUUGUUGUGUUGCUGAAGUCAACAAGAGGCAGUGGGACGAGUAACUCUGGAGCUGUGGUAGGUAGUGGCAGUGCCACUAUUGAUAAGUUUUACAAGAAAACAUGUAUAGAAGAGUCUGUUCACAAUAAUCAAAGGGGAUUCAAUGUUAGCCAGAAGGUCCAAACAAAGUUGUCAACUAUGAAAAGAGAAGAGAAAAGGGACAGAGUUUGUGAGUAUAUUUGCCAGUUUUUCUAUGAAGCCUGCAUUCCUCACAACACUGUUACCCUCCCUAGCUUUGCUCAUAUGCUUGAGUCCGUCAGACAGUUUGCUAAGGACUAG
rnacentral:rRNA from 1 species